GCCCUGAUGGUCUAGCGGUAUGAUUCUCCCUUAGGGUCGUCUUGAGACGGUUCAGCAUGGGAGAGGUCCCAGGUUCGAUCCCUGGUUAGGGCC
rnacentral:tRNA from 1 species